rnacentral:rRNA from 1 species
UGGGGAAUAUUGGACAAUGGGCGCAAGCCUGAUCCAGCCAUGCCGCGUGAGUGAUGAAGGCCCUAGGGUUGUAAAGCUCUUUCGCCAGGGACGAUAAUGACGGUACCUGGAUAAGAAGCCCCGGCUAACUUCGUGCCAGCAGCCGCGGUAAUACGAAGGGGGCUAGCGUUGUUCGGAAUUACUGGGCGUAAAGCGCAUGCAGGCGGAUCGCUAAGUCGGGGGUGAAAGCCCGAGGCUCAACCUCGGAACUGCCUUCGAUACUGGCGAUCUUGAGUCCGGGAGAGGUGAGUGGAACUCCGAGUGUAGAGGUGAAAUUCGUAGAUAUUCGGAAGAACACCAGUGGCGAAGGCGGCUCACUGGCCCGGUACUGACGCUGAGAUGCGAAAGCGUGGGGAGCAAACAGGAUUAGAUACCCGCGUAGUCC